AUCAUAGAUCAUACUAGCACCAAUACACCGGAUCCCAUUAGAUCUCCUCAGUUAAGCGUGAUUGGUUAAGAUUAGUAUUUGGAUGGGUGACCUCCCGAUAAGUCGUU